rnacentral:rRNA from 1 species
UACGUAGGUGGCAAGCGUUGUCCGGAAUUAUUGGGCGUAAGCGCGCGCAUGGCGGUUUCUUAAGUCUGAUGUGAAAGCCCCCGGCUCAACCGGGGAGGGUCAUUGGAAACUGGGAAACUUGAGUGCAGGAGAGAAGAGCGGAAUUCCACGUGUAGCGGAUGAAUGACGUAGAGAUGUGGAGGAACACCAGUGGCGAAGGCGGCUCUUUGGCCUGUAACUGACGCUGAGGCGCGAAAGCGUGGGAGCAAACAGG